GCAAACUUGGUCAUUUAGAGGAAGUAAAAGUCGUAACAAGGUUUCCGUAGGUGAACCUGCGGAAGGAUCAUUAUUGAAAACAUUGCAGGGAGAGGUUGAGCUGGCUCUUCACGGGGCAAGUGCUCGCCUUUCUCUCAAUAUUCAUCCACCUGUGCACCUUUUGUAGAAAGAGACCGUCGAGAAAGGGAAGCCCGUAAAACCGGCUUCUCAGUAUCGCUGGGCUUUUUCUAUGUUUUUCACACACUCUAAACGUAUGUCUUGAAUGUCGUUUUACGGGGAAGUAAAAAACCCUUUAAAAACUAUACAACUUUCAGCAACGGAUCUCUUGGCUCUCGCAUCGAUGAAGAACGCAGC
rnacentral:misc_RNA from 1 species